GCCACCUGAAAACACAAAUAAACAAUAAGAGGAUGUAGACACACAAAUUAUUACAAUGUAUGAUUUUAAUUCAAUGUGAGCCAAAGGAAUAGUUAUAACCUUAUAUAGCCUUAAACACAUCAAACAUUUGAACUAGUGGCCAAUACUGCACCACAUUUUAAGGAUAAAUGUAUAAAAUAUACAGCUAUUUUAUUUGAAUAAAUGUGAAUAUUAAAGUCAAUAUAAACAAAUAUGAGACUGUGUGACAAAAGUGUAACUUAAAUAUUACAUACUGUUUGUGUUUUUUUUUUCUCUGUGUUCUCAUUAUAAAUUGUAGGGUUCAGAUAUAUAUAUAUUUAUCAAAGAUGAACUCCAUUCUUUUCAGAUCAGGCAGCUUUCCAUACAAUCUUUAUUCUAAAGGACUGUUGGGGGCCAGUAUUUUGUUUGGGCCUCAUGAUAAAACAAGGCCAUGUGUUUCAACAUUCAGAAUAAGUGUUGCCUCAUUAUGUUGUGCCCUGUUCAAAGUUGACUUUAAAGACUGUCAUUUUAAUCAUACUGCCAUGUAAGAUCUUUAAAUUUGUUGAACCAUGGAUUGGGCAAUCAUAAAUCUAUAAAGAUCUCUUCACUUAUAAUCUUGUUCUACUGAAAGUGCCUACACAAUCACAAAGGAUGAAUUCAAGG